GUUGAUUUUUUAAGCAUACUCGCCUCAUUUUACGGUUGAACUGUUAUAGUAUUCAUAAAUUCAAAGUGCAGUGAACGAUAAUAUUUUAGAAUAUAUAGAUUUUUAAUAAAAUUUAAGAAGUAUACUGUGGCGAUAGUUUCAAAUGAGAACCUACGAAUUUUGAUGCAAAUUAUCAAUCGGAACAUUUUUUUUUUUUUUGUAAAUGUACACGGAGUUAUGUAGUCGGAAUUUGAACGAAAAGUUUCAGAGUUGUUCUGCUUUAAGUACCUACUAAGGAUAAUGGUCUUUUAUGAGAAUUGGAUACCUACUGUUUCAUAGAAAUCGUGUAUAAACUUUUUUUUUUGUUUUAAAUUUUGUAGUAAUUAUCCUUUAGUAUUUAAAAUAAAA